rnacentral:rRNA from 1 species
CGGCGGGAAAGACUCCCCGGAGGGUGUAAGACCCGUGUGGGCGCGUGUCAAAGCUGUGCGGGCUCGGCCUCUUUUCCCUGAGAGUCGCGUUGCUUGAGCAUGCAGCGCUAAGCAGGUCGUAAACUCGAUCUAAGGCUAAAUAUCUCCACAGAACCGAUAGCGAACAAGUACCGUGAGGGAAAGUUGAAAAGCACUCUGGAGAGAGAGUCAAAAGACCGUGAAACCGCUCAGAGUAUAAGCCCAUGGCAGCUUGGAAGGCAUAUCGCGAGCGGGGCAUCGGUCUUCCUUCGCGGGGAGCCGGUGUUACCUUGCCUCUGUUGUGGCUCGUCAUGGUAGGGGGGUCAAGUCCACAUCCCGCCGUCGUGUGGGAAGUUCUUGGGCGUGUCGUUGCUUUGCGGUUGACCUCGGUUGACCGUAGGGCUCUUCGCGCUUGGUUCUUCUUUAGACACGGACGUUCAGACUCGGAGGCAAGACGCGAUAACCAGCCCACCACGGCACGUUGUGAGGUCACCCACAGGCUCAACUUUCGAUUGUGGUCCUUGACGCCGAGCAAGCACAAUGCGUGUCGCAGAUGUUCCUAACCGGGCAGAUUUUGUCAGGACCGUGGAACGACACGCGCUCAACAGUCAGGACCGGGCGAUGACAGAGUUCUGGUACGAUCCUCUUGCGACGAACCGCCUUCUGGCCGACUUCCGAUGCUCAGGUCUCCCGCAUGUGCCGCGGGAGAUCGCUUUGGCGGUCUGGACCCGUAAGAGUCCUCUCAGCCGGGCA